UACGUAGGGCCCAAGCAUUAUCCGGAAUUACUGGGCGUAAAGAGUGCGUAGGUGUUCUCUCAAGUCGGUCGUUAAAUCUCAUUGCUUAACAGUGAGGCUGCGAGCGAUACUGAGAGAAUUGAGUGUUGCAGGGGCAAGCAGAAUUCUUGGAGUAGGGGUGAAAUCCGUUGAUACCAAGAGGAAUACCAAUGGCGAAGGCAGCUUGCUGGGCAAACACUGACACUGAGGCACGAAAGCGUGGGGAGCAAACGGG
rnacentral:rRNA from 1 species